rnacentral:rRNA from 1 species
UACGUAGGGUGCAAGCGUUAAUCGGAAUUAUUGGGCGUAAAGCGUGCGCAGGCGGUUUUGUAAGACAGGCGUGAAAUCCCCGGGCUUAACCUGGGAAUUGCGCUUGUGACUGCAAGGCUAGAGUGUGUUAGAGGGGGGUGGAAUUCCGCGUGUAGCAGUGAAAUGCGUAGAGAUGCGGAGGAACACCGAUGGCGAAGGCAGCCCCCUGGGACAAUACUGACGCUCAUGCACGAAAGCGUGGGGAGCAAACAGG